UAGUUUUGGAACUCAUUGGUGUAUUCUUCAAAAUACCUCAUGUUACAAAUACUCAAUUUAUGAAUAGUUGUUUUCGCUCUUUCUUUAGAUUGCUCUCUAUGCCCAGUGAUAUCUCAACAGAAUUGUGUAUAGAUAGGCACUGCAAAAUCUAAAGGAUUAUCAGUCUGAGCUAGCUUGUCUGCCCAAUCAAUCCAUUGAGAACUUCUUUUGAAUGACUGAUACCACUUAUGAACUAUUCCAAUUAAGGUUGACUCAUAAUAUGCAUGAGCAUUCUCGUAGGCAAACUUUGAUAACACUAAAGCCUGAGUUAGCUUUAAACUAGCUACCCAGUUAUCUAUUGUCUUUCUUUUAUCUCCUACCUGAUCUAAAUCCAGAUACUCCUCUUUCGGACACUGACUGUCCCCGUUUAGGUUCGGUAGGGAUAUACUUCUGAAAACUUCGUUCUCCACUCCUUCUUGUAGGAGCUUGCCCUUUUGGGAGCUUGAUAUUCUUUUCUCGAAUGAUCUUAAUUGGAUUAUUUGUAAUGUUCUGUAUUAUGGUAUGAACACUUUAUGAAGGGACCUGCCUUUCUUCGUCUGUUUGCAUAGAGGAUGAACCUGACGAUUCUUCUUUUGCAGCUUGAUAAGGAAGAAUCUUCCUCUUAUUCUUUCCAAGUUGAAUUUGAGAAAUCUCAUUCAUAAUUUUCUCUAAUUCUUCUAUGGAUUCACAAGUCUC
rnacentral:lncRNA from 1 species